rnacentral:tRNA from 1 species
GGCAUUAUACUUUACAUAGAAGAUAUGACUUGCAAUCAUAAAGAAAGAAUAUCCUUUAACGCCA